rnacentral:rRNA from 1 species
UACAGAGGUCCCAAGCGUUGUUCGGAUUCACUGGGCGUAAAGGGUGCGUAGGUGGGUCUUUAAGUCAGGGGUGAAAUCCUGGAGCUCAACUCCAGAACUGCCUUUGAUACUGAGGAUCUUGAGUUCGGGAGAGGUGAGUGGAACUGCGAGUGUAGAGGUGAAAUUCGUAGAUAUUCGCAAGAACACCAGUGGCGAAGGCGGCUCACUGGCCCGAUACUGACGCUGAGGCACGAAAGCGUGGGGAGCAAACAGG